UGAGAGCCAUGGAAAGGUAGAGAGAGGUUUCCACCAUUAAUAGAAAUCUUGGAUUAACAGUCUUUGGAAACAGCUUGCAUAAAAAGAAUGAAGGGUUGUGUGUAUCUCCAGAAGGUGCCCCCACAACAUCCUGCUGGCUCCCUUUGGUGAGUGUAAAACGGCAUGCAGCAGGGAGCUAUACAGAGAAAGUAUAGUAAAUUGAGAGGAGUAAGCAUGCCGGUAUGGAUUACAAGGGAAGCGUGCAAAAACUGUAGGACCCAUGUAAGAAUUGAGUAAAACCCAUUUUUCCCUCAACUACACAACAGAAGGAAAGGCCACCUCUGAAGGCAGAGGCUGAGGAGGAGCAGAGUGGACUCACUGCUAUGAUGUGUGCAGGACUCAGAAGUAAGAGCAGAGCAGUUCCUAUCAGAGCCCUACCGUGUGCUGGCAGCCGUCUGCACACAGUGCAGACCCUGUCAGCUCCCAGCCACACGUGAAGCCUCAGAUGCUAUUUUAAAUAUGUUCACAUGUACCUCGCUUGUAGGAAACAUAGGUUCAUUUGUUUAUCGCAAGCCGGGAGUGUGAAAGUGCUUGCAAAAAGCACUCUGCCAUCUCACCCACACGGUGCCCUCACUUUUCUGGGUGAGGGCCUUAGCAAUGUUGCUUCCUUCCCUCGAGCUGCUAUGUUGCCAUCACCUCCUCCAUUAGCAUUACUCCUGGCAUGGUCCCGACUGCUAGCACAACACCCAGCCCUGUAAUCUCUGCAGACACCAAGCAGGGCUUCAGCAGAGACCCCUCACAGCUCCUAAAGUGUCCAGAGCUGCCUGCCUGGGCCUCAACAAAAGGCUUCGCUAAAUAAUAAUAAAUAAAUGCUAAAAUAAGGAACUUCUGCCCAAAGUACAUCUCUGCUUCAGCACCCCGACUGUGAAAAGCUGUCUAAUGGGGAUGGCUACCAUCAUAAAGAGGUUCUUAUUACCAUGAACUGGGACAAGUCAGAUUGUUCACACCUCUUGAAGACAACCACAAGUGAAGGCUUUGAAAAACUAAUCACUAAAUCAUAGUGAUUCAAUGAUUCUAAGCUAUGGAUGCUACCUGAGAAGACCUAAAUCUACUUCUCCUGACUACCAAGCUAAGGGUAGUCACCUGUGGACAAGGGAGAGGCUUUGUGAGACUGGCACACCAACUGACUUCCAAAUUCUCUGAUGUACCUUUUCUUCUUGGCAUGGGAAAAUUAAAAUAUUCAUCAAACCAAAGACUGGGGACUAAUUGCUAGGCACUUAUCUGGGAAAUGGAAUACCUGUAUUGUCAUGAACAGUUAAGCUUUUAGUUCAAAGUGAGAAGUAUUAAUAGUGGUAGCCACAUCUCAAUCUCCUCUAAGGAUUCCCUUAAGAAGUAGGUGCCUUUAGGCAACAGAUUUUAAAAACUGCUGCUCCUGCAUUUUUGGUCACUUGCUGCUUCGUUUUGGUUUUGGUCAGGUUCAUAGUCCUUUGCUUGCUUUUCUUUAUUUUUGGCUGAGGACGCAUGAAACAAGGAGAAAAAGUAUUUGGGGUUGUCCAGACUUUCUAAAAAUUGGGGAAAAAAAAAAAACCAACAACUUGGUUUGGAUCAGACAAAGGAAAGUGCUUUUGUUCUGCUUACUGAAACAGCUGGGGGAAAUUGUUCACCCAAACCUAAUGUCAGCCCAUUUCGGGGGGGGGGGGUGAGAAUGGGAUUUAGUCACAUUCAAUAACUUAAAGCUGCUGUGACUGUAAGAACCUUAGCUAGUGGUGACUUGGCAUGUGGUGCCAAAUAUAUUUUAGGAGCUGGGCCUGCCCUGAUGGCUUGUUUGUGUAGCAAAGUUCAUUGAGACAGAGGUCAGAGGCAAAUCUCACUGGUACUUACAUUUAGGUUUGUUUGCUGCUUUUGAUCGCUUCCUUGUCCAGCUCUGAUCCUGAAGAGGUCUGGCUAUGCAUUGCCAGAAGAGCCAAGUUGUAGCUCUGGUGUAGCUUUCUGCUUCUGUACGCGUGGUGCAGCAUCACGCCCCGCUGCAGACACCGAACCCUCACAGGAAGUCAGUAGGACAAAUUAAUGCUUGCUGCAACCCAGAUCUGUGCACUCAACACAUCUGUUAGGCCUGGUAGCACUAAGCGAAGGAUUGGCUCAGCCUUUGUGCUGUGCAGCAUUCCCCAGCAGUCGUUUCGCUGUGGCUUUUUUUUUUUCUUCUUCUUUUUUUUUUUUUUUCUUUUUAAGACAAAUGGGGUUACCAAAAGGGCAUCUGAGGAGAGGCUUUGUCAGAGCACCAUGGUGCUGCAGAUGGGAUCCAACACCCUCUUUGAGCCCUGGCUCUGAGGACAGGAUGCUCGGCUGUUAUGCUGUCAGGCGGUUCAUGUUUAAAAAUCACUUAUUUUCUGUUUUCAUUGCUGCACCUCUGAAGAAAUGCAUUCUGUUUUAUCUCAACAGAAAUAGAUCUGACUACUUUGCUUGCAAAAACUGCCUGUAAUGUAGCUGAAGGGUUUACUUGCCUUUCUUCAUUUCCAAAAUGAAGUAAAAAAAAAAAAAAUUAAUUGCUCAUCUGCUGCUUUGACAUCAAGGAAAGGUAACCCAUAGAAAUCAUUCUGAUAUAGCUUAAAAAUGAGCUGGAUGCCUGUGAGGGAGCACAGAAGGCUAAAAGCAAAAUAAUCUUGCUUUCUGCCAUCCUGUUAUUGCUGCGUUACUGCAGUACAGCGUGCUAGUUAUGUUCUGAGUGUCUGAAACUUGUUUCUUGCUCCCAAAGUGAUGAGCAGGUUGGCACUAAUAGAAAAGGAACUUGGUACCCACUAUCUAAAGAGCCUUCACAAACUUUAAUGUCUCAUGAGCUAGGAAAAGUAAUUUAAAAAAUUAUAGGGAUUGGGGACAUACUCAAAUGCCACACACAGUCCCAAAAAGCAAAAGCUUUUAACAAAUCCCUGCCCAAUUCUUUUAAAAGAAGAACAGAAAACCAGAGCAUAGCCCAGUAAAAGAACAUGGUCAAGUAAGUAGGUGCAUUUAGAUUACUAGAUUCUUUGAGCAAAUCUAUAGAGGAGAAAGUAGCAGACUGGCAUGAAGCAGAGAGGUCAGGUUGCUCUAGGUGCGUAUCCCAGAGAUGAAAAACUUCAUGUUGUUCAAAAUAGUCUUUUGUAGGUCUGUAAAAGCUUUUCUUCUGCUUUGUGAACUCCCAGGGGAGCAUGUGGCAAACCCGGGGAACCUCCAAGCCCUCUGCUAAACAUGCACAUCUACUGAACUGUGUAUGUGAUUCAUGCACAUCAGCAUGCAGUCUCUCCGGUGCAUCACUGCCUCUCUUGAUCAGGAGAGCACCUGGGCAUUGGAUUUUCUGCUACUGGAGAAAGCUUGUAAGGCCAGACCGGUCUUCUACCAUAAUUCACUCAUACUUGUCUGAAUAGGGCUACAAAGACGGAGAAGGGCCUAGAGAGGAAGAGG
ensembl:lncRNA